CUAAGAAUAUUCCGCAAUGGACGGAAGUCUGACAGAGCGACGCCGCGUGGAUGACGAAGGCCGAAAGGUUGUAAAGUUCUUUUGCUGGGGAAGAAUAACCGCAGGAGGGAAUGCCUGUGGGAUGACAAGAACCGGCGAAUAAGCCCCGGCCAACUACGUGCCAGCAGCCGCGGUAACACGUAGGGGGCGAGCGUUGUUCGGAAUUACUGGGCGUAAAGGGCAUGUAGGCGGCUUGGAAAGCCUGGCGUGAAAGUCUGCAGCUUAACUGCAAGGGGUGCGCUGGGAACUGCUGAGCUUGAGUGACGGAGAGGGAGCUGGAAUUCCUGGUGUAGGGGUGAAAUCUGUAGAUAUCAGGAAGAACACCGAUGGCGAAGGCAAGCUCCUGGCCGAUGACUGACGCUGAGGUGCGAAAGUGUGGGGAUCAAACAGGAUUGGAUACCCUGGUAGUCCACACAGUCAACGAUGUGCACUAGGUGCUGGGGCGGUAGCUUCGGUGCCGGAGCGAACGUGGUAAGUGCACCGCCUGGGGAGUAUGCUCGCAA
rnacentral:rRNA from 1 species